rnacentral:rRNA from 1 species
AGUUUGAUCAUGGCUCAGGAUGAACGCUGGCGGUAUGCUUAAUACAUGCAAGUCGUACGAGGGCUUUUAGCCCUAGUGGCGGACGGGUGAGUGACACGUGAGAAUCUGCCCUUAGGAGGAGGAUAACAGCUGGAAACGGUUGCUAAUACUCCAUAUGCCGAGAGGUGAAAGGAAUUUCUGCCUAAGGAGGAGCUCGCGUCUGAUUAGCUAGUUGGUAGGGUAAAGGCCUACCAAGGCGACGAUCAGUAGUUGGUUUGAGAGGAUGAUCAGCCACACUGGGACUGAGACACGGCCCAGACUCCUACGGGAGGCAGCAGUAGGGAAUUUUCCGCAAUGGGCGAAAGCCUGACGGAGCAAUACCGCGUGAGGGAUGACGGCCUGUGGGUUGUAAACCUCUUUUCUCAAGGAAGAAGUUCUGACGGUACUUGAGGAAUAAGCAUCGGCUAACUCUGUG